CCGGCCAAAGCUCUGUCUGUCUCUGGUGCGCGAGAAGCGGGCUCCGCAGCCCCCCAAGUCCGCCCGGAGCCGGGGAAGUUUGCAGCGGGGAGUGACUUCAGGAGGGCUAGAUACACACAUAAAUAGACAGGGGCUGGCGGAGAGGAGGCGGCGGCGGCAAGCAGCACCCAAAAGGGAGAGAGAGAGAGAGAGAGACACACACACACACACCCAAAAAGUUGCCGGGAGAAGUUUCCCUCCUGCGGAAUGCGGCUACUCUAAGUCCAAAGACAAUCCAUGGAUGUGAUCGGUCCCUUCACAAGUUGUGCAAACGAUUUGUUAGUUCAUGAGCCUAAUUAGUGCUGGGAUCACAUAAACAGCUUCCUCUGAAGCCUGGUAAAUGGCUUGAUGAUUGGUCGCUAUUACUCGCCUGGAGGUUGAAAGGGGGAGACUCUUUAAAGUGCGUCAGAGGGGAGGCGAGCUCUGGCAGCUGGGAUCCUGGAGGGAUGGAUUCAGGGCCCGGAACGGAGUGUGUCUCUCUCCACUCACUCCAGAGCGCUGGUGUCCCAGCCGGGCUCCUCACCUCUCCAGCCACUCAGCCGCAGAUCCGUCCUUCCCUCCAGCAACCCAGCCAGAUGCAGCUAAGAUUUCUUUCUACAGUGACUGGAUCUGAUCUUGCUACUGUCCUCCAGCAAAGUGAGGAACUUUUUCCAACAUGGGCUUAAGGGUAGAGAGACUCUUACGCAAAGGAAUAUAAGGACUGCCAUACCAGAUGGGGCCCAAUGGUACGUCUAGACUGGAAUCCUGUUCUGACAGGGUCCAGUUCCAAAUCCUUCAGAAGAAAGUGUCAUCUCCCUGCGGAGCUCUCCUGCCCCAUACACACCUAGUGUGCAAUUAUGCAGUAAAUGCUUAUGUGUUAAUUUACUGCCUGGUCCUUAUUAACUUUUAGACUCAAAACCAUCAUGUUAUGUAGCUAGCCUACAUAACAUGUUUAUAUCACUGCUACCCCUGUCUUCCCUA
rnacentral:lncRNA from 1 species